rnacentral:rRNA from 1 species
AGAGUUUGAUCCUGGCUCAGGAUGAACGCUAGCUACAGGCUUAACACAUGCAAGUCGAGGGGCAUCAGGAAGAAAGCUUGCUUUCUUUGCUGGCGACCGGCGCACGGGUGAGUAACACGUAUCCAACCUGCCGAUGACUCGGGGAUAGCCUUUCGAAAGAAAGAUUAAUACCCGAUGGUAUAUCUGAAAGGCAUCUUUCAGCUAUUAAAGAAUUUCGGUCAUUGAUGGGGAUGCGUUCCAUUAGGUUGUUGGCGGGGUAACGGCCCACCAAGCCAUCGAUGGAUAGGGGUUCUGAGAGGAAGGUCCCCCACAUUGGAACUGAGACACGGUCCAAACUCCUACGGGAGGCAGCAGUGAGGAAUAUUGGUCAAUGGACGAGAGUCUGAACCAGCCAAGUAGCGUGAAGGAUGACUGCCCUAUGGGUUGUAAACUUCUUUUAUACGGGAAUAAAGUUAGGCACGUGUGCCUUUUUGUAUGUACCGUAUGAAUAAGGAUCGGCUAACUCCGUGCCAGCAGCCGCGGUAAUACGGAGGAUCCGAGCGUUAUCCGGAUUUAUUGGGUUUAAAGGGAGCGUAGGCGGAUGCUUAAGUCAGUUGUGAAAGUUUGCGGCUCAACCGUAAAAUUGCAGUUGAUACUGGGUGUCUUGAGUACAGUAGAGGCAGGCGGAAUUCGUGGUGUAGCGGUGAAAUGCUUAGAUAUCACGAAGAACUCCGAUUGCGAAGGCAGCUUGCUGGACUGUAACUGACGCUGAUGCUCGAAAGUGUGGGUAUCAAACAGGAUUAGAUACCCUGGUAGUCCACACAGUAAACGAUGAAUACUCGCUGUUUGCGAUAUACAGUAAGCGGCCAAGCGAAAGCGUUAAGUAUUCCACCUGGGGAGUACGCCGGCAACGGUGAAACUCAAAGGAAUUGACGGGGGCCCGCACAAGCGGAGGAACAUGUGGUUUAA